GGCUGUGAGAACAACCUAGUUGUGACAUGUCACCCCACCGAUAACCAGGGUUUACAUAGCUGAUCUGGCUGGCUAGGAAAGUGUCCCCUUCCUCUAUCACCACUCCAUGUGUGUCCCUCUCAGGCAAAGAGAAUGACCUUCCUCCAAUAGAGGACUGGUCCUCUCCUACUAGAACUUCCAAACAAGAUUAACUUAAGAUUAAUUUAAGAUUUUCUUGAGGCCCAACAUGGUGGUAAAUGUCUAUAAU
rnacentral:sRNA from 1 species